ensembl:snoRNA SNORA70 Small nucleolar RNA SNORA70
CUGCAGCCAGGUAAGUCAACAGGGCUUCUUUCACCUGGGGAGGCCCGAUGGACAGUAGCCACACAAAUAGCGGCCUCUGGGCAGACAGUGCAGCCUGUUGCUCCUGUGGGUCACCCUGAGGUACUUCAGAGACAGCC